rnacentral:tRNA from 1 species
GCCUUCGUGGUGUAAUGGUCAGCACACUCGGCGCGUAUUCGAGAGGUCCGAGGUUCGAGUCCCGGCGAGACA